rnacentral:lncRNA from 1 species
GACCUUGGGUCACAGUUUCCAUUUUGACAGGUAAAGGCUUGCUAGAAAUUUUAGGAAGUUUUCAAUCACUUGACGUGCACAAUGAUUAUUUCCGUGUUUACUGGAAGUAAAGAUGGAUCCUUCUGAGAAGUGAUGAGUCAAAACUGAAGUUCCUUUACUGGAUGAGAUGAAGGAUUCUUGAAGAACAAGUAAGAGUGAUAAUGAAGCCCUUGAUGCUGAUGAUUACAUUGAAGCAGAGCUAUAAAAAAUAAACAAUAUGACCCUAAAGGAAGCUGAUGCAGCUGAAGAUGAAGCAAAUGAAAAUUCUCAUGUGGCAGUGCGCAAGGCACAAGGAAAAGCAGCAAGUCACAGUCGAGCCAUAGAAGAAGCCCACAACAAGUAUCCCAAGACUGGUAAAUUAUCAUUUUGUUAUAGGAUUUAAUAAAUUUUUACCAUAUUUCCUAUAUUUUAUGAAAAUGGCUGAAACAUUACAUGGACUGUAGUUUAUUAUAUUCUUGGAACAAAUAAUGGAAUAAAACUUGUUAAGAUAGGAAGUUCUUUGUGGAUGUUAUAUAAUGUGUAUAUAGGUUUACCUGUAGAAUUCAAACUGAAAAAGAAUGUUAUUACCUGUAAGUCACUCCCUCUGUCCCGGUGAAAAGUAUACACUUGGAAGUUGGAACAGAGGGCUAGGCACGCAUUUUAAGGCUCUUGUAAAAAACAAUCCAAUAAAUUAUAUUAAUUGUUUUUCUUCAGAAUAAAACUUUAAUGUCUAAACUUUUAUUCAGAAACAAAAAAUUUAAAAAUGAGUUAUAAAAUUAUAUUUUAUAAAAACCUUAAAAUGUGUGCCAAAUAGUGGGAAAAAAAAACUGUAUAAAAAUGAGUGGGACGGAGGGAGUAAUAGUUCCAUAUUAAAGGUAAACAUUUUUUUUUGAAUAUAUAUGUAUACAACAUACUAUCAAGUGAAAUUAUUAGUGUUUUCACAAAUUGAUCUAGAAAAUAACUUUUUGGAUGAUAUUUAGAGACGAAUAUAAGAUAAUUACUGGGUACAGAUGUGCAGAUACAAAUUUUGCUAGGAUGAACCGUUUGAUGAAAGGCAACUUUACCUAGCCUCACAUGGCCUUUUUCUUGGUAAUGGUUAGUAGGUUGUUUAGAAGGAUAGUUGCUAGCAGGCUUGUCUCUUCGCUAACCUUCUAAACAACCCUUUAGCAAAGAUGGAAAUUGAAAUACUGGCAUAUGAAUAAUGGGUAUAUAUAUCUGUGAUUCUCCUUUGUUUCUGUGUUAAAAGUUGCUUCCUGCGCUUGCUCUUACUCUCUGCACUGCAACCCUUGAUGCUGAUGAUUACAUUGAAGCAGAGCCAUAAAAAAUAAACAAUAUGACCCUAAAGGAAGCUGAUGCAGCUGAAGAUGAAGCAGAUGAAAAUUCUCAUGUGGCAGUGCGCAAGGCACAAGGAAAAGCAGCAAGUCACAGUCAAGCCAUAGAAGAUGCCCACAAGAAGUAUCCCAAGACUGGUAAAUCUUCAUUUUCUUAUAGGAUUUAAUAUUUUUUUUACCAUAUUUCCUAUACUUUCUGAAAAUGGCUGAAAGCAAAUAUGACAUGGAAUGCAUUCUAUUAUAUUCUUGGAACCAAUAAUGGAAUAAAACUUGUUAAGAUAGGGAGUUCUCAGUGGAUGUUAUAUAAUGUGUAUAUAGGUUUUCUUUCAGAAUUCAAACUGAAAAAGAAUGUUAUUACCUGUAAGUUACUCCCUCUGUCCCGGUAAAAAGUAUACACUUGGAAGUUGGAACAGAUGGCUAGGCACGCAUUUUAAGGCUCUUGUAAAAUACAAUCCGAUAAAUUAUUAUUAUUUUUCCUUCAGAAUAAAACUUUAAUAUCUAAACUUUUAUCCAAAAACAAAAAAUUUUAAAAAUGAGUUAUAAAACUAUAUUUUAUAAAAACUUUAAAAUGCGUGCCAAAUAGUGCCAAAAAAAUCUGUAUAGAAAUGAGUGGGACGGAGGGAGUAAUAUUUUCAUAUUAAAGGUAAACAUUUUUUUUAAAUAUAUAUGUAUACAACAUACUAUCAAGUGAAAUUAUCAGUGUUUUCACAACUUGAUUUAGAAAAUAGCUUUUUGGAUGAUAUUUAGAGCAUCAGUACUGAAGAACAUAAGAUAAUACUGGGUACAGAUGUGCAGAUGCAAAUUUUGCUAGGAUGAACCGUUUGAUGAAAGGCAACUUUACCUAGCUGCACAUGGCCAUUUUCUGGGUUAUGGUUAGUAGGUUGUUUAGAAGGAUAGUUGCUAGCAGGCUUGUCUCUUUGCUAACCUUCUAAACAACCCUUUAGCAAAGAUAGAAAUUGAAUUACUGGCAUAUGAAUAAUGUGUAUAUAUAUAUAUGUGAUUCUCCUUUGUUUCUGUGUUAAAAGUUGCUUCCUGCGCUUGCUCUUAUUCUCUGCACUGCAACCUCUCAUUUUACAUGAAAAAUUGAAGCGGAAACAAAGAUAUGUAGUCACCAAACUCCAGAGGAAGCUGCUAAGGACGCAUUUUAAGGCUUAUUGGAGCUAUAUCCAAGACUUUUAAAAAUUGUCCCAUGACCG